rnacentral:rRNA from 1 species
GCUCAGAUUGAACGCUGGCGGCAGGCCUAACACAUGCAAGUCGAGCGGUAGCACAGGAGAGCUUGCUCUCUGGGUGACGAGCGGCGGACGGGUGAGUAAUGUCUGGGAAACUGCCUGAUGGAGGGGGAUAACUACUGGAAACGGUAGCUAAUACCGCAUAACGUCUACGGACCAAAGUGGGGGACCUUCGGGCCUCACGCCAUCAGAUGUGCCCAGAUGGGAUUAGCUAGUAGGUGGGGUAAUGGCUCACCUAGGCGACGAUCCCUAGCUGGUCUGAGAGGAUGACCAGCCACACUGGAACUGAGACACGGUCCAGACUCCUACGGGAGGCAGCAGUGGGGAAUAUUGCACAAUGGGCGCAAGCCUGAUGCAGCCAUGCCGCGUGUGUGAAGAAGGCCUUAGGGUUGUAAAGCACUUUCAGCGAGGAGGAAGGGNAAUGUGUUAAUAGCACAUUGCAU